CCUGGUGUACAGUGUGGCACCUUAUCGUGCUAAUUUUGGAAGCUAAGCAGUGUCACGCCUGGUGUGUACGUGGAUGGAAGACCAGUAAGGUAUAUAAGGUAGGACUAGGA
rnacentral:rRNA from 1 species